rnacentral:lncRNA from 1 species
GAACACAAAAUGGCGACACGUGGUUAGCAUUCGUCGCCAACGAGAAAUUGGGGUCGGCCCGAAAGCUCUAGAAUGCACCCCUCUUCCUCCCCGGGGCCUUCCACCUCCGCGAGUUUUAUGACUUAAAAAAGCCCACAGGCUGGUCUGAAGAGGAAGACAAACAUAAAGAUGAAGUGCUUAAUUCAAGGUCACACAAUGUCGGGGAUGGACCUCCAGAUUUCCUUACUGACCUGCAUUAUCUUGUGGAUACCUGAGUGAAUUCCACACCACCCAUUUUAUAGAUGAAACCACUGAGACAUGGAGCAAUUGACUGAGUAGUCACUGCCCCACCCCUGCCUGGAGCCUCACACAUGACUCGCCUCCUCUCAGUGACCACAGGUUGGUUGAGGGGUUUAACAAGGCUAAGAAGUACUUAUCCUGUAUUACAUGAAGGAAAUGAAAUAAAAAGACUGCAGCCCCACUCCCAGCUACUCAGUGAGGUGGUAGCUAGAGACGGAGUCUUGCUAUGUUGCCCAGGCUGGUCUUGAACUCCUCACCUCAAGCGAUCCUCCCGUCUUGGCCUCCCAAGUGUCAGGAUUACGGGCAUGUGCUAUCACACCCAACCUGAUACAUUGCCUUUAUAAAUUUUUUUUUCUUUAUUCUAAAAACCAGAAAAAACAAAACUGGAUACAUGUGCAGAACAUGCAGGUUUGUUACAUAGCUGUACGUGUGCCAUGGUGGUUUGCUGCACCUAUUGACCUAUCCUGUAAGUUCCCUCCCCUCACCCCCACCCCCCAACAGCCCU